UACGAAGGGGGCUAGCGUUGCUCGGAAUCACUGGGCGUAAAGCGCACGUGGGCGGAUUGUUAAGUCAGGGGUGAAAUCCUGGAGCUCAACUCCAGAACUGCCUUUGAUACUGGCGAUCUUGAGUCCGGGAGAGGUGAGUGGAACUGCGAGUGUAGAGGUGAAAUUCGUAGAUAUUCGCAAGAACACCAGUGGCGAAGGCGGCUCACUGGCCCGGUACUGACGCUGAGGUGCGAAAGCGUGGGGAGCAAACAGG
rnacentral:rRNA from 1 species